rnacentral:snRNA from 1 species
CACGCCCGGUCGUACUCAUAAC